rnacentral:rRNA from 1 species
GACGUAGGGUCCAAGCGUUGUCCGGAUUUACUGGGCGUAAAGAGCGCGUAGGCGGCUCGUUAAGUGUGAAGUGAAAUCUCCAGGGCUCAACCCGGAAACUGCUUCGCAUACUGGCGAGCUGGAGUGACGAAGAGGUUUGUGGAAUUCCUGGUGUAGCGGUGAAAUGCGUUGAUAUCAGGAGGAACACCCGAUGGCGAAGGCAGCAAACUGGUCGUCAAACUGACGCUGAGGCGCGAAAAGCGUGGGUAGCAAAACAGGG